UUCCCGUCUGUGCUUCGGGGUUCCCUGACCCCGUCCAUCCUGCGGCCCACCUUCCUGCAGUGUCUCAGCAGGGUCUGUUGCCUAGGCUGGAGUGCAGUGGCAUGAUCAUAGCUCACUGCAGCCUCCGCCUCCAGGGCUCAAGGGAUUCUCCCACCUCAGCCUCUGGAGUAGCUGGGACCACAAGCAUGCACCACCAUGCCCUGCUCUUUUUUUUUUUUUUUUUGAGAUGGAGUCUUGAUCUGUCACCCAGGCUGGAGUGCAGUGACACGAUCUCAGCUCACUGCAACCUCCGCCUCCCAGGUUCAAGUGAUUCUCCUGCCUCAGCCUCCUGAGUAGCUGGGACUACAGGCACGUGCCACCACUCCUGGCUUUUUUUUUUUUUUUGUAUUUUUAGCAGAGACAGGGUUUCACCAUGUGUGCCAGGAUAGUCUCGAUCUCUUGACCUUGUGAUCUGCCUGCCUCGGCCUCCCAAAGUGCUGGGAUUACAGGCGUGAGCCACCACACCUGGUCACCCUGCUACUUUUUAAUAUUUUUUAGUAGAGAUGGGGUUUCACUAUGUUGCCCAGGCUGGUCUCCAACUCAUGGGCUCAACUGCUCCUUCUAUCUUGGCCUCCCAAAGCGCUGGGAUUAUAGGUGUGAGCCACUGUGCCUGGCCUGAUUACAUUUUUAAAAUGACAUUUCCUCUCCCCUACGGUGAGAUUCCACAUAAAAGUCCAGAUUUCUGCUUUCCCUAGAAAAACGGACCUGGCAACAUUCCCAUGGCACAGGACGCCUACUCUCCAGUUGCCACAGGCCCCGCCACCCCCCUGCCCUUCAUUCUGGUCUCCUUUCUGGCCCUUUUUAGGCACCUGUGUUUGCCCUAGAUUAGGAGUCAGCUAGCUGUCUGUAAAGGGCCAGAUGGCAACUAUUUUGAGCUUUAUGGGCCAGGUGGUCUGUGUGGCAGCUACUCUUUACCUGCAGCCACAGAGCACAAGGCAAUGCAGAAAGGAAUGGGUGUGGCUGUGUUCCAAUAAAACUUUAUUUACAAAUCAGGCUGUGGCCAGAUGUGGCCCACAGGCUGUAGUUGUCGGACCUCUACCUUAGACCAUCAUGAGGCCUGGGGUUCUUCGAGAACAAGAGCUCCUUGGUUGAUUCCCCAGGGUGACACUGACUCCUAGGCGCCCUCCAGAGCCAGACAGCUUGCGACUUCUGAGCACUAAGAGCCACCUUGGCAGCCUCCCGGAAGACGUCCUCCACAUUCUCCCGAAAUUUGGCGGAACAUUCCAGGUCUGUCUUGCAGCCGAUGAGCACCAUGGGGAUCCCGCGGCAGAAAUGUGUGACCUCAGGGAACCACUGUGGAGGGAGGGAGCAGGGGAUCAGGGGUGCGGCCGGGCCCAGAUGUGGGGCCGCCACCCAGGAGGCCGGCCUCACCUUGAUGAGGACGUUGUCAUAGCUGGUGGGGUUCAUGACGUCAUAGCAGAUGAGCACGAGUUUCAAACUUACAGUAAAAUUGCAACAAGAGUGUGAAGAGCUCUCUGUGAUUCACCACCUGCUUGCAUUGGCCCCUCUGGCUUUAUCUGGAGACAGACACUUCUGUUUCUCCCUAUCAGGGCACGGUAACUGUAGACAUCUGCCUCUUCACCCCUUAGCUCAGCGCCUAUCUGCUGAGAACAAGGGCAUUCUCUCCCCUGCCCCAAGCCCCAGAAACCGCAUGGACUCUGCAUUCUAAUCCGAUCCACAGGCCAUAGUCAGAUUUUGACCAUUUCACCAAUAUUGUCCUUUAUUUUUUUCCCCGUUGAGGAGCCAGCCCAGCCCAGGGUUCUACACUGCACUUAGUCAUCACGCCCCGGUAUUUUUUUAAAAUCCCCACAGUGAGAAGUGAGAGCUUUUCAGGCUCAUUGGUGACCAGCCCCCCCGCCCCUCGACUUCCUUCCACUGAACAAGGAACGUGGAGGCCAAGGAAUCCCCCUGCCCCAUCCCCAGCUGCUGCAGGUGCGGGGUGGCGCCAGCCUGCCCUCCACUCCUUCUCUGCCAGACACCUCUCAGGACAAGUGGCCUCUCCACGGAGCACCACCAGGCCAUGUCUGCUCCUACUUCCUUGCUGGUGACGGGGCAUGGCCACCCUCUCCCCACUGGCUCCCCCUCAACCCAGGGACCUCCAAAAGUCCUCAGCCAGCUCCCCCAUGGAACAAUGCAUAAGGGUGAGGUCACUAGAGGCAGAUGAGACACAUGUUCAAAUCCCAGCUCUGCCCUCACCGGCUGUGUGACCUUGACUUAGACAGGACAGUGGUGGGAGUCUUGGCUUCCCCACCUGGGACAUGAAAAUCAUAAAAUCUACCUCACGGGGCUGUCACCAGCCAAGGCACACCAUUGCACUCCAGCCUGGGUGACAAGAGCGAAACUCUGUCUCAAAACAAAUAAAAAUAAAUAAAAAUAAAAAAUGAAUUAACAUGAAGCAUUC
rnacentral:sRNA from 1 species